CAGCCGCCGCGGUAAUACGAAGGGGGCUAGCGUUGUUCGGAAUUACUGGGCGUAAAGCGCACGUAGGCGGAUAUUUAAGUCAGGGGUGAAAUCCCGCAGCUCAACUGCGGAACUGCCUUUGAUACUGGGUAUCUUGAGUAUGGAAGAGGUAAGUGGAAUUCCGAGUGUAGAGGUGAAAUUCGUAGAUAUUCGGAGGAAAACCAGUGGCGAAGGCGGCUUACUGGUUCAUUACUGACGCUGAGGUGCGAAAGCGUGGGGAGCAAACAGGAUUAGAUACCCGAGUAGUCCCUGUCUCUUAUAC
rnacentral:rRNA from 1 species